rnacentral:rRNA from 1 species
GACGAACGCUGGCGGCGUGCUUAACACAUGCAAGUCGAACGGUAAGGCCCUUCGGGGUACACGAGUGGCGAACGGGUGAGUAACACGUGGGUGAUCUGCCCUGCACUUCGGGAUAAGCCUGGGAAACUGGGUCUAAUACCGGAUAGGACCACUGCCUGCAUGGGUGGUGGUGGAAAGCUUUUGCGGUGUGGGGAUGGGCCCGCGGCCUAUCAGCUUGUUGGUGGGGUGAUGGCCUACCAAGGCGACGACGGGUAGCCGGCCUGGGAGGGUGACCGGCCACACUGGGAAUGGGAUACGGCCCAGACUCCUACGGGAGGCAGCAGUGGGGAAUAUUGCACAAUGGGCGCAAGCCUGAUGCAGCGACGCCGCGUGAGGGAUGACGGCCUUCGGGUUGUAAACCUCUUUCAGCACCGACGAAGCGCAAGUGACGGUAGGUGCAGAAGAAGGACCGGCCAACUACGUGCCAGCCGCCGCAGUAA